GAAUCCUUACUUGUGUCAAGUUUGAGGAUAAAGGAUUGGAAAAUAAUGAUAGUACUUUCCUAUUAGUGUUGUCAAAAUACUGGUGCCAGAAGACUCGGUAAGGCCAGAAACGCGAACGUUAGUAGUCUUAAUCAGGCGUAAAGGGUUCGUAGACUUCUUCGGUUUACUAAAUACUCCCUAGUUUUCAAUUAACUUUAUAAAUCUAGAACUCUCUAUCGCAGAAGACUAGAAUAUUAUAAAGGUAAAUUAGGUUAAGAAGAAAAAAUUAGGUUGCGUUUGCGCCUUAACUUCUAAUCAAGGUUUAGUAAAAGAAGCGAAGAUAGAAUCUUAUGCAAGGUACUUAAACAAAUGCUUUAUGUAAGGAUGAAAUCUUUAGAUCUAAAGUGGAAGACUAAGGGCGAAAGCUAUUUACCUAGUAAAGAUUGACGUUGAGGAACGUAGGUUAGGACCGAAAAAAGGAUUAGAUACCCAAGUAUUCCUAUCUGUUAACGAUGAAUGGUUAGUUAUUCAGUAAAAUACAUAAUAAUGAAAAAUUAAAUUAUAUUUUCAUUGCCUAUUUCUCUCCCUAGCCAAGGUAGAAAGGUUCGACAUAUAACGUGUCAAAAAGGAAUAGAUAACAAUUAAAAUAUAAUAGUAUAAACACUGGGAAGCGUAGCUAACGCAAUUACCAUUCCGCCUUGUGAGUACGACUGCAAAGUUGAAAACAAAAAAAUUAGUCGGUUUCGGAGCAAACGAAGUGAGGCAUG
rnacentral:rRNA from 1 species